rnacentral:rRNA from 1 species
UACGUAGGGGGGCAAGCGUUGUCCGGAAUUAUUGGGCGUAAAGAGCGUGUAGGCGGCCAGAUAAGUCCGCUGUGAAAUCUCGAGGCUCAACUUCGAGCUGUCGGUGGAAACUAUCUGGCUAGAGUCCGGAAGAGGAGAAUGGAAUUCCUGGUGGUAGCGGUGAAAUGCGCAGAUAUCAGGAAGAACACCCGUGGCGAAGGCGGGUCUCUGGGCCGUAACUGACGCUGGAGGAGCGAA